GGCUUGAUUCUACCACUGGUGAGCAAAACACAGACGACAUAGUGCACCCCUUUCUCUUUCUCGCGGGAAUGGAUCUGCCCACAGCACCUCGGGCCCAUUUUUCACAGCUGCUGUGGCAAGCUCUGGAGACAUAAAAGGAUACCAAUUGGCCAGACCACCUGUUGCUGUUGGCGACGGGGCCCUGACAGGAGAAUGUGAUUGGACGGCAAGGUCGUUAACCUCUGCACACAGAAAGCGCUCGUUUCAAGCCUCCUUGGGCAGGACUGCUGAUGUUGGCGAGAACACAUCAGGGGCACACAUGUACACACAGGCAACGUUUUCCGCCAAGACCAACAGAAAUGCUGUCCCACUUUUGUUUU